ensembl:lncRNA
GUCUUCAACUCCUACCAACCCCUCCUCCCCUCUGACGAACACCCUUGCAUAGGAAUUGGGGUAUAUACAUGCUCAUUUUACAAUGGGUUUAACCUCUCUGAUUUUCACAAAAACCUCUUGAAGACGGCGUUCGUGUCAACUGCAGCUUCAACUUAAACAGGAGGGAAGAACCAGUCUGGGUGUGUGCGCUGACUACAAAGAUGGCGGAGCACUCACCUCAGCCGGGACCCCCACGUCACAUGCCCAGUCACAGCCGGCACGGAGUCUGUCCCCACACACACUCUGGCUCCAUGUUGCCGCCACGGCUUGGGGUCCUACCUGCAUCACCCUCCCUGACCACUGCCUCAGACGCCUCUCUGAAUACUUCGACUAACCUCAGCUCAUCUUUGGUUCAGCGGUUUCAGCUGUUGCCUGUUUUCUAGGGCAAAGGCUUUCCAUGAGAGGCUUGAAGAUUGGCAGUAUGAGCGUCACCUGGGCACUGGUAUAAACAUAAAUUCUUGGGCCAAACCCCAGACCUAUAGAAGAAUACGAAAAUUCGGGAGUGGAUGCAGCAAUCUGCAAUUUAGAAAGCCUUCCAGGUGAUUCUGAUGGAGGCUGAGGUUUGACAGCCACGGAACCGCUGGCUUAGAGUGAAAUGGAAGCGCUUAAGCAAGACAGCUGAGACUCAUUAUAACCGAGGAGUCCUUUGGAAUGGAGGUUAGAAGUGCUUGAUUUAGAACUCUGCUCCAUCAGUGGCUCUGAUCCUGACAAAUCACACCUGACUUUCAGUUUUCUUAUCUGUAAAACGGGAAUGAGUUAUUUCAUAGGUUUUAUGGGGACAUUAGGAG